UACGGAGGGUGCAAGCAUUAAUCGGAUUUAUUGGGCGUAAAGGGCGCGUAGGCGGAUAGUUAAGUCAGAUGUGAAAUUCCGAAGCUCAACUUCGGAGCUGCAUUUGAAACUGACAAUCUAGAGGAAUGGCGGAGAAAACGGAAUUCCACGUGUAGCGGUGAAAUGCGUAGAUAUGUGGAAGAACACCGGUGGCGAAAGCGGUUUUCUAGCUUUUACCUGACGCUGAGGCGCGAAAGCAAGGGGAGCAAACAGG
rnacentral:rRNA from 1 species